rnacentral:lncRNA from 1 species
CUGAAUAAGGCCUGAGAGAACAAAUAAUCAGUCUAAGGGCUGUUCUCACAGUGUUUCCCACUUAGAAGAGUGAGGAAGCACAGGGAAUCUCACAAAGCUGCCUGUUUUCAGAUGACUUCAAGUCCUGUUUCAGACCUACAAGGCCUGUCUAGGGCCUGCAAGGCCUCCAGUUGAGUGCAGCCUCUUCCUCUUCUCCCCACCUCCUGGCUCAGCUGCUGCUUCACCAGAAGCCUGGCCCCAGGGCACCUGGUGCUGCAGAGAGCUCCCUGAGGGCUCUAGUGCCCCCCAAAUAUCCACAGGUCCUUCCUAUGCAGCCUAAGCAGCAGUGCUACCUCACAGUUUCGUGCAAAGGCAGACACAACUAGAGAAUACCAUGCUGCAGAAGCAAGGAAGAGUUCCCUGGUCUGAAAAGGUUAACUGCAGUAUCCUGAUGCACACUGUAAAAGUAUACAAGAUAGUAUACAAGAUAUUGACAUUGAAAGCUGA